AGGGUUCGAUUCUGGCUCAGGAUGAACGCUGGCGGCGUGCUUAACACAUGCAAGUCGAACGGGAUCCAUCAGGCUUUGCUUGGUGGUGAGAGUGGCGAACGGGUGAGUAAUGCGUGACCGACCUGCCCCAUACACCGGAAUAGCUCCUGGAAACGGGUGGUAAUGCCGGAUGCUCCAGUUGAUCGCAUGGUCUUCUGGGAAAGCUUUCGCGGUAUGGGAUGGGGUCGCGUCCUAUCAGCUUGACGGCGGGGUAACGGCCCACCGUGGCUUCGACGGGUAGCCGGCCUGAGAGGGCGACCGGCCACAUUGGGACUGAGAUACGGCCCAGACUCCUACGGGAGGCAGCAGUGGGGAAUAUUGCACAAUGGGCGCAAGCCUGAUGCAGCGACGCCGCGUGAGGGAUGGAGGCCUUCGGGUUGUAAACCUCUUUUAUCGGGGAGCAAGCGAGAGUGAGUUUACCCGUUGAAUAAGCACCGGCUAACUACGUGCCAGCAGCCGCGGUAAUACGUAGGGUGCAAGCGUUAUCCGGAAUUAUUGGGCGUAAAGGGCUCGUAGGCGGUUCGUCGCGUCCGGUGUGAAAGUCCAUCGCUUAACGGUGGAUCCGCGCCGGGUACGGGCGGGCUUGAGUGCGGUAGGGGAGACUGGAAUUCCCGGUGUAACGGUGGAAUGUGUAGAUAUCGGGAAGAACACCAAUGGCGAAGGCAGGUCUCUGGGCCGUUACUGACGCUGAGGAGCGAAAGCGUGGGGAGCGAACAGGAUUAGAUACCCUGGUAGUCCACGCCGUAAACGGUGGAUGCUGGAUGUGGGGCCCGUUCCACGGGUUCCGUGUCGGAGCUAACGCGUUAAGCAUCCCGCCUGGGGAGUACGGCCGCAAGGCUAAAACUCAAAGAAAUUGACGGGGGCCCGCACAAGCGGCGGAGCAUGCGGAUUAAUUCGAUGCAACGCGAAGAACCUUACCAAGGCUUGACAUGCGCCCUGAGCGCCUAGAGAUAGGUGUGCAUUUGGUUGGGGGUGUGCAGGUGGUGCAUGGUUGUCGUCAGCUCGUGUCGUGAGAUGUUGGGUUAAGUCCCGCAACGAGCGCAACCCU
rnacentral:rRNA from 1 species